UACGGAGGGUGCGAGCGUUGUCCGGAAUCACUGGGCGUAAAGGGCGCGUAGGCGGCCUGAUAAGUAGGGGGUGAAAUCCUGCGGCUUAACCGCAGGGCUGCCUUCUAAACUGUCAGGCUUGAGCACAGUAGAGGCAGGUGGAAUUCCCGGUGUAGCGGUGGAAUGCGUAGAGAUCGGGAAGAACACCAGUGGCGAAAGCGGCUUCCUGGUCCAGCACCGACGUUCAGGCACGAAAGCGUGGGGAGCAAACAGG
rnacentral:rRNA from 1 species